rnacentral:tRNA from 1 species
AGCUCAGUGGUCUAGUGGUAUGAUUCUUGCUUCGGGUGCGAGAGGCCACGGGUUCGAUUCUCGUCUGAGCCC